AGUCGAGCGAGCGCUUUAUUGGAUUCUUCGGAUGAAGAUUUUUGUGACUGAGCGGCGGACGGGUGAGUAACGCGUGGGCAACCUGCCUUACACAGGGGGAUAACAGUCAGAAAUGACUGCUAAUACCGCAUAAGACCGCAGGACCGCAUGGUCCGGUGGUAAAAACUCCGGUGGUGUAAGAUGGGCCCGCGUCUGAUUAGGUGGUUGGCGGGGUAACGGCCCACCAAGCCGACGAUCAGUAGCCGACCUGAGAGGGUGACCGGCCACAUUGGGACUGAGACACGGCCCAGACUCCUACGGGAGGCAGCAGUGGGGAAUAUUGCACAAUGGGGGAAACCCUGAUGCAGCGACGCCGCGUGAGCGAUGAAGUAUUUCGGUAUGUAAAGCUCUAUCAGCAGGGAAGAAAAUGACGGUACCUGACUAAGAAGCCCCGGCUAACUACGUGCCAGCAGCCGCGGUAAUACGUAGGGGGCAAGCGUUAUCCGGAUUUACUGGGUGUAAAGGGAGCGUAGACGGCCGUGCAAGCCAGAUGUGAAAGCCCGGGGCUCAACCCCGGGACUGCAUUUGGAACUGCGUGGCUUGAGUGUCGGAGAGGCAGGCGGAAUUCCUAGUGUAGCGGUGAAAUGCGUAGAUAUUAGGAGGAACACCAGUGGCGAAGGCGGCCUGCUGGACGAUGACUGACGUUGAGGCUCGAAAGCGUGNGGAGCAAACAGGAUUAGANACCCUGGUAGUCCACGCCGUAAACGAUGACUACUAGGUGUCGGGUGGCAAAGCCAUUCGGUGCCGCAGCCAACGCAAUAAGUAGUC
rnacentral:rRNA from 1 species